UACGGGGGGUGCGAGCGUUGUCCGGAAUCACUGGGCGUAAAGGGCGCGUAGGUGGCGUGAUAAGGGUGUGGUGAAAGCCCGGGGCUCAACCCCGGGUCUGCCAUGCCGACUGUCAGGCUAGAGUACUGUAGGGGCAGGCGGAAUUCCGGGUGUAGCGGUGGAAUGCGUAGAGAUCCGGAGGAAGACCGGUGGCGAAGGCGGGUCUCUGGGCCGUAACUGACGCUGAGGAGCGAAGCAUGGGAGCGAACAGG
rnacentral:rRNA from 1 species